rnacentral:lncRNA from 1 species
GGCGUGCACAAAGCUGAGUCCACAAACGUAACGUCUUCAAAUUACUAAAACCAUUUACGACGUCGGCAUUCCCCCCCAGAAAACAAGCGCGUAACAAAAACACUGGACACUUAGUUUAUCACAUAACUUUAAAUAUUUACGUUCAACAUAUUUCUUUUUUCUUUCGAACAAAAAAGUGCAGCAAAUGCACAUUCUGGAAAUAUAAAUAAAUGUAACAUAAUAGC